CUCAGGUAAUCCACCUGCCUCAGCCUCCCAAAGUGCUGGGAUUACAGGCAUGAGCCACCGUGCCCGGCCAGCAUUUUUCAACAAGGGCUUUGCAUUCCAUUUGCUGAAGGGGGUGCGCUGUAAUUUGAUCAAUCCCCUUUUCUUGGACAUUUAGGUUGGUUCCAAUUUUUAUAUCAUCAUAAACCAGCAAUUAGCAUGCUUUUUCUGUAAAGAGCUAGGUGGUAUUUGUUCUGGCCUUUGCAGAUCACAAGUUCUCUCUUAGAACUACUGAGCUCUGCCAUUACGGCAAAAAACCAGCCACAGACAAUGCAUAUAUGAAUGCACAUGGCUGUGUUUCAAUCAGACUUUAUUUAGAAAAACAGGUGGUGGCCAGAUCUGGCCUGUGAGCCAUGGCAUGGUUCACUGAACCAACUCUAUAAACAUUGUGUGGUACAUCUUUUUGAAGCCAAACUUUCCUAGUAUGAAAUGAUCAUUUUCUUGUGACAAUGAUUUUAUACUGUUUCUUUUUAGAAGUAGGACCCUUCUUUGAAUGAAACUUAGUAAGAUUCAUAUAAGUAACAGAACCUUCCAGGUCUGAGCUGAGGUGUCAUCUCUGAACACCAGGCUGCUGCACUAACCAGAAGACCCCUCCCCACCUGCAGUGGCCUCGCUGCAUCGUAAGGAUGGAGGAGCUGUUGUCUCCACAGCUGACAGGUGCUUAGUGGUUAGAAGUCUGGUUUUCGCGCGGCUUAGAUCUUUAACAUCUGAACUAGUCCUGUCAACAUAUUUUGUUAUAUUUCUGGUGGCUUUGUCUUUGAUGCUAUUAUAAAUGAUUAUCUUUUAAAAUAAUACUUUGAUGAUAUAUAGAAAUGAAAUUGAUUUAUUUGACUGUAUCCAGCAACCUUUUCAAAUUCUAAUAAAUUGUGUAGGGAAAAAAAAGUCUGGCUUCGGAGUCAGAACGGAAUUGAAUCCUGCCUCCACCACUUCCUACCUAUAUGACCUGGUGAAACUUAUCCCUCUCUGUGACUCAGUUUCCUCAUCUGUAAAAUGGGAAAAUUGAAAGCAACUAACAGGUUUGGGGCCGUUUUGCUUGCUGCUGCUGUGGCUUCAGUGCUGAGGCCUGGCACUCAGCGGGAUGUCAGCCCAGGACUGGAGCUUCUUUCUCAUGGUAUUAUUUUGAAUUUAGAUGAAAAGAGGUAUUCCAGGAGAGCUCCUGGCACAGGGCCUGGCAGGUGGCACAUCCUCAGUAAAUGUGAGCUGCUGUCAGCUGCUGUGUGAGUGCCUGGUGUGGCCCUGUUGUCCCCUUGAGGGUUGGGGGACAAAACAGGCCCUCAGGAAGCCUGCCUGUGUAUUCGGGGGCUGGGGAGAUCUCUGACCUCCUGUCUCCUAGCUCCACCAGCAUCUCUCACCUCCCCCAGCAAUGUACAACCCCUUCUUUUCCCAUAGCUUAGGCCCCUGAGGUACCAGCCCCCCAGCCUAGGGACAGCCCAGUGGCAAACUCCUGGUGACCUGGGUCAAGCUGCUGUUCUCCAAUCCCAACUCGGCUCUUCCCGUGACUUGGCCCCCAGGCCUUGGGUGAGGCUCCGAUGAAAUAACACACAGGAAUGUGCGCUGAACACUGCCAAGCACUGCAGGUGGGCAGGGGCUUUGUGCUCCCCAGCGACUGUUCCUAUCCUGCGGGAAUGGAGGAGACCGACAAAGAAGCCCCACUCCUGGGCUGACAUCCUGCCAGUGCCAGCCGGGCCUCAGCACCAGUGGGUCAGCCAGAACAGCAACGACGAACAAUGAGGCCCCAAACCCGUGGGCCCCCCACUUUCUAUCUUGAAUUUCUCUGUCUUUCCUAGGCCAGCAAUGUUUGAGAGGGAGAGCGAGCUGAAGAUUUCCUGAUUUCAGAUAGGCCUAGAGAAGGAUUGUAAUUUUCUAGUGUGAAAAGGAAGUGGCACAAAGAUGAGGGCAAUGAAGAAGAUGGUUCAAUGGAAGUACCAGGGUCCUGUAAAUAGGGAACGUGUUUUAUGAUCAAACCGUUCUUUGCAUUUUUGGUGAUUUUGAGGUUUAAUUUCCUCUAUGUAGUUAGUUAACUAUUUAACACUGAGAGCAGGGGUAGGGAUAAGGCAAACAACAAAAAAGCCAAAAUGAAACCAACUUCUGUGGGGUUUCCCCACCCCAGGGAGGUGGAGGCUGAGGUAGAACUGACUGAGAGAAUCACCCUCCCUGCACUGUGAUGAAGACACAUCCACACAUCAGGACUACACAGCUGGCAGGUGCUGGCUGUCCAGAGGAGCAAACAGCUUCUUCCUUGUGUUUCUGUGUCUCUUAGUAGAAAUCUGUGCCCUUGGGAGAAAACUGAAUUUGCACCCCUUGAGGCAAACACUUGACCAAAUGAAUUAGGCAGAUGGGUGGAUGGGUGGGUGAAUGGGCAGGAGGUGUGACAGGCAGGAGGCGUGACAGGGAAAGAACACUGUUCUGACAGGCACACACUGCCACAUCUGCCCUCCCAACAACCCCGAUACAGACACUGUUGUUAACCCUCCUUUUACAGAUGAGGAAACUGAAGUUAAUUUGCUCGUGGUAACACAGCUAGGCAAGUGGCUACGUUCAGCUGGAGAAAAGGAAAAUUCUGAAAGACUUUAGGAUACAUCUUAUUCAAAAGCAUUUGGUGAACAUAAAUAUGUACCCAAGGUAUAAUAUUAAGUGAACCAAGCUUGUUAUAAAGCAGUAUGAGUCCUGUCUGAUUCCAACUUUAUAAAAAAUAGAUGCAUAUGUCAAUAAAUGCACAGAAAAGGGUAUACCCUAAAAUGUUAAUAAUGGUGAUCUCUGGGUUAUGACACAAAAUAUUGAUUGGUCUUUGGGCUUUUCUUUAAUUUUAAAAUGUUAAUAGACAUGUAUUAUCUUAAUAAUGGGAGGAGCCACAGAAAAAGUGCUUUUCAAAAACAUGAAAUCAAUAAGCCCAUGCAGGACCUGCAGGGGGCUGCAGUCACCUGGGCCUCAUAGGCUUGGCAAAGGCUUUAGUUAUGCCCUGAUUGGAGGCCACUGGCAUGGAGAAGCUGUAGGUCAGCUAACUGGAACUAGGACAUCCAAUGUGAUUGGUUAUGUGUGCAUAUUUGUCUUUCUUCAUUGGGUCCUAAGUUGCAAGCAGGCGCAAAAAUUAAGGAAGCUGUGAGUCAAUGAAGUCCUGGCUGUUUUUCAGCUGGUUGCUAUAGGGUUGUUUUUUGACUUUCUAGACUGGUUGCUGUAGAGGUGGGUCAGAGUUUUACUUUCAUCUAUGGUCUGGCCAUUGUAUUUGUAUAUUCAGUCUCUUAGUCACCCCUUUUGGUCAUUCGCUUACUUUCAAGAGGUUGGCCAAUUCAAGGAAAGCUGGAAAUCUAGCUCUUUAUCACUCAGAGAUUAUUCAGUAAACUCCAUAUAAAACUGUAUUGCAAAAUAUUCCUGACCUUUUUGUUUUUGUAUCAUCAUGGUGAUUUUGACUAGAGAGCAGAUGUGCAGAAGCUUUUAAGAAUCUAGAUAGCACGCAGCAUCAUGUCCACUCUUACAAAGCCAGAAUAAUUAAUAGUUCCUAUAAGGUGAUUUGGAACCAGGAACCUCAAUUGCCAAAUCAAGGCCAAAAUAACAAAUUUGAUAGAUUAUGGGAUCAACCUUAGCCAAAUAGCUUAUACCAUGAAACAAUAUAUAAUAGUUCCAACUUGCUUGUUUCUUUGAUCCAAGGACAAGAAGUAUGAGCAACGGCACAGACACCAGGAUGACUAAAAGAAAAAAAAAAAAAAAACCUAGGGUAAUGUUAUUGUCUAUCACUGCCCAUGCCAAUGAGUUGAGAUUGUUCUGUAUUUGUAUCUAGGACAAAGGCAAUAUCAUCAAUAACUUCUGCCAGAGUGAGUAUCUUAGUCCAUUCAGGCUGCUGUACUAAAAUACCAUAAUUUGGGUGGCUUAUAAAGAAUAGAAAUGUAUUUCUUUCAGUUCUAGAAACUGAGAAAAUCAAGAUAAAGACGCCAGCAGACUCGAGGCCAGGUGUGAUAGCUCAUGCCUGUAAUCCCAGAACUUUGGGAGGCUGAGGUGGGUGGAUCACCUGAGGUCUGGAGUUCAAGACCAGCUUGACCAACAUGGAGAAACCCCGUCUCUACUAAAAAUACAAAAUUAGCCAGGUGUGGUGGUGGGCAACUGUAAUCCCAGCUACUCAGGAGGCGGAGACGGAAGAAUUCCUUGAACCGGGAGGCGGAGGUUGUAGUGAGCUGAGAUCGCGCCACUGCUCCCCAGCCUGGGCCGGAGCCAGACUGUGUCUCAAAAACAAACAACAAAAUAAAACAAGAAAAGAUUUAAUGGAAGACCUCAAUAAGCCAUUGUAGGCUGUAAAAUUCACCUAGUCCAAUCUUUCAGAGUCGUUUUGGACUUGAUAGUAGCUCAGUACCAAGAUCAUUACAGAAGUUAAUACCAAUAAUAGCCAUUGAAUAUAUUGUCUCUAUAAUGUGGAUCAAAUUCUCAUUUGACUGUACUGACAUUGGUGAUAGAAGGUGCAACCUGAUUUACGCUGGGGUAUAUCAGGUGAUUAAAGUUAAGGCAGGCUAGAGAAAAAGUGAAAGCACUCAAAUUGCUGAUUUGGAGUGAAUGAUAAAGCAAUUUAAUACACCGUCUCUAAAGCAUCCGUUUUCGCCUGUCCGAAGAGUUUUAAAGGAUAUUUGGCCAGAAAAUUUCUACCAUGUGUCAGAAUAUUAAUUUGCAUGUAUGCAUUCAUAGUUCAUGGGAUAUUAUUUUAGUGGUUUUAUUAUAACUGCAUAGAAUGGUUUGCUUCUUACUGAAGAUCUUUCUUUUUUUCUUUCGUUCUUUCUCUUUCUUACAGCCAUAGGUGCUUUAAGUCAUUAAACUUUGAGCACUGUAAAAAUAUCUAAAGAGUGCUUAUUUUUAUAACAUUAAUACUCCAUUUGCAACUUUAAUUAUAGUUACUUCAUUUUUAAAAUCUCAGAAGAUAAUGAAAUAUGUAGAAUUGCCAAAACAAUUGAGAAAGCUCACUGCAUUCGUUUGGUAGAGCUGUCGUAACAAAGUGCCAUGGACUGGAUGGCUUAAACAGAAACUUACUUUCUCACAGUUUUAGAUGCCAAAAGUCCAAGAUUAAAGGUAUUGGUAGGUUUGGUUUCUUCUGAGACCUAUUCAAUUGGUCCAUAGACUGCUAUCGUCUCCCCGUGUCUUUACAUCGUCAUUUCUCUGUAUGUGUCUGUGUGUAAAUGUUCUCCUCUUAGAAGCACGCCAGUCACAUUGGAUUAGGACGCACCCUACUGACCUUAUUUAACCUUAAUUGUGUACUUCUCUAAAGACCUUGUCUCCAAGUAUAGAUACUCCGUGAUAUUGAGGGUUAGGACUUCAACACAUGAAUUUGGCGGGGGUGGGUGGGCACAAUUUAGCUCAUAAAACUCACUAAGGUUUAAUUAGGGCAUGGACUGUAGAGCAUUCUACUGUUAAUUUAGUUUUUGUGUUUGGAAAGCAUUUUGAAACAUAAUGAUUUUUAUUUACAAUUUCAUUAUUUAUAUUUUCAUUAUGUUUAGGGUUGCUUGGAGGUAAAUGAAGAAAGAAGAGUUCCGCAUUAGUGAGGCAGGGAUGUCAGUAUAUAAGGAAUUGGAAAGACAUCAGUGAUAAUGGCAAAAGCUGCUUAUAAAUUAAAUUAAGAGCUUAAUUAAACUGAGGAAAAAAGCAUAUUGCCAAAUUACAUGCAGUUGUUUUGUAACAGCAUUUGUCCACUUGCUGUGCCCUGAGAUUUCCAAGGCACAUUCCUCUACUAAGCGUAUUAUAAGAUGAUUAAAUAUGCAUAGUACAAGUAUGUUAUGGAAGGCUGUGUUAACUGAUAUAGUGGGACCACAAUAGUAUGUGUAAGUGAGAUUUGGAAAAUUUGAUAUGCCAGCAAGGACAAAGAAGUGUUGAAUUUGCAAGUUUAUGCACAUAAUUCUGAGAAUCCAGGCAGCUAUUUCUCCUUUUGAAUUGUUCUCUUGGCUAGGGGAUAAGGGUGAGACACAAUACACAUUUGAAUGUGUCACUGUGUAAGUUACCACUGCAAUAUCUUCUGUAUGUUGAAAAACUGGUACUUAUAUGUACUAAUACUAUCUACCAUGAAAAAAACAAUUAAAAAUUUAAAAUAUCAUGUAAAUUAAAUAAAGUUCAAAUACCACUAGCCAGAAAAAAAUAUUUUAUAUUAUAGUCUGGGGUCAGAAGAGGAAAACCUUAUGUAAAGUAUCAAAAUUAAUUUUUAUUUCAAUUUAAAUGCACCAUCAUAUAACAUAGUUUCAUAACUGAAAUUACAUUUGUCAGAAUUUGAUCUUUUCAUUAUUAAAGAAUUGAGGGAAAAUUGAUGGUUAUAAUAUUGAUAUGCCAUGUAAAUAAACUUUUUUUGAUUGUUAUAGGAAUGAAUUGCUCAACUAAUUGGCCAAUGUCAACCACAUAUCUGUUUCCAUGGAAACUGCAGCAAUAUUACUUCAAAUAGUUUCAUUUGUGAAUGUGAUAAACAAUUUUCAGAUAAAAAAUGUAUACAUACAUA
rnacentral:lncRNA from 1 species